UUAUUUUGUCAAUGGCAAAGUGUUUUGUGAAGAAGACUUCCUGUACUCUGGUUUCCAGCAGUCGGCUGACAGGUGUUUUCUUUGUGGACAUCUGAUCAUGGACAUGAUCCUGCAAGCCCUGGGGAAGUCCUACCACCCCGGCUGUUUCCGCUGUGUCAUCUGUAAUGAGUGUUUGGAUGGGGUGCCCUUCACCGUGGACUCAGAGAACAAGAUCUACUGUGUCCGAGAUUACCACAAGGUGCUGGCCCCCAAGUGUGCAGCCUGUGGGCUUCCCAUCCUUCCACCUGAGGGCUCAGAUGAGACCAUCCGUGUCGUGUCCAUGGACAGAGACUACCACGUGGAGUGUUACCACUGCGAGGUAGACCCCUCCCCACCCAGCCCCCAAAGCCCAUUGUAGACAUCCAAGAGAAAAGCAUCCUGCGUUGACUGGGGCAAGAGGCAGUCAACAAGAUUCUGGCAAGGGUCAGCCCUCUAGAGCUUCUGUAGGAAAUGGAAUGAAGGCUGGUUCUUGGG
rnacentral:sRNA from 1 species